AAAUUGAAGAGUUUGAUCAUGGCUCAGAUUGAACGCUGGCGGCAGGCCUAACACAUGCAAGUCGAACGGUAACAGGAAUCAGCUUGCUGAUUCGCUGACGAGUGGCGGACGGGUGAGUAAUGUCUGGGAAACUGCCUGAUGGAGGGGGAUAACUACUGGAAACGG
rnacentral:rRNA from 1 species